GGGGGGAUGGGUUUAGAAUGACGCAAGCGCAUUACAUUUACUGAGCACCUGAUUUCUAACCUGACAGGCGGUACCAGUCCAUGACCUAGAGGUUGGGGACCCCUGCUCUAAAAGUUAAACAGAGAGUUACAAUAAGCCCCAGCAAUUCUGCUACACUCCGCUGCCUCCAUGGUACAUGACUCUGUUCUUAUCCUCAUCUCUGUGUUGUUGGAUUCACUACUAAUGACUUUUUCUUAGUUCAUAUUUUUACCUCUUUCAUGCCCUUGGCAAGGCUGGAAAUCAUUUCCCAAACCAUGCUUCCUGAGUUAUCUUCCCUUAAGAAGACAAAGGCAUCCUGUUUUGGACAACCAUCUUCAAUGACCUCCAACCCACAGGACUUUUUCAGGUGUUGCUCAUCCUCCUUAUCUGCCACGUGGCAGUUUUAUGAGGAAGGUUCAAACUGAUCUCCAAACAGAUUAGUGCUACCUAUUGAUAGCACCUGCACUGUCUACCACUAAGUAGGUCUAAGAUUCUUUGUUGAUGAUCACCCUAUCAGUUUUCUCACUGUGACCAUUCCCAACCUUUCCAGUGCUCCUCAAAUGGCUAACCAUUUCCAGCUCAUUCUCAGCAACUGACAAAAAUGACCCCUAGCACAUUGCCUGAAACCUCAAAAAAACACCAGACCCUCUCCAGCAGAUCCAGAAAAGACGGUACAGGCGGGGACCCAUUUCUCCCUUGGAAAUGAAAUUCGAAGUGACAACACCAUUUGCUUGUCAGCAUAUUUAACUUCCUACUCAAGCACGUGACCCAAGUCACCAGGUCAGAGAGGCUCCGUAGCUGGCACCUCUGAAGGCAGAAGGUACUCACCUGUGCUUGCUACCCAGGAGGCCAGGUCACCACAGUGGUGACAAGGUGAAGAUUGAUGGCUCCAAAAGCAGCGGGUUCCUAGCAGCCGGACUGCCAGGCAGGGGACUCUGGCUGGGCCGGCUCUCCUGUAGUUAUCCCUCCUACAGUUUAUAAUUUGGCACACUGGCUCUUUGCUUUUGGCAGCAGUGCAAAGGGCGUAUUGAUCUUCGAAAGCCACUUUGGCUGUUAAAGGAAACAAAAUCAGUCUUUGGAUGGAUUUCUCCUCAUAAUGCAUUUGUUCUUCACCUUGGAUAUUGGCAGGGCUGGGUCAGCCGAGGAACUCAGCCUACCAUGAGCCUUUGACAACAGAAAGCGUCUUCCACUUAAACUGAAAGUGAUUAAGAGGAAAGGAAAGACGCCAAGCAAUGGUCCAUUGUUGGGGGUGGGGGCACUUCGUUCCUGCAUCGUGACGUUGCCCUCUAGUUUGGGCGAGGGGGACUUGGGGUUUAUUUAUUGUUUCUGCGGGUUCCAUCAAAGAGUUUUUCCAGCUUCCAGAUUGAUCCUCGGAGAUUUCCAAUCCACUCUUAAAUGGGUUGCCAUUUCCUUCUCCAGGGGAUCUUCCGGACCCAGGGAUCGAACCCAGGUCUCCUGCAUCGCAGGCAGACUGUUUACCGUCUAAGCCACAUAACAACUGAAGCAAUAUAGUAACAAAUCAAUAAAGGCAUUUUUAAAAAGGUCCACAUCAGAAAAAUACAAUAUUUCUAAAGUACCAGUGACUAACCUGGCCUCAUUUACAAGUCAGCUUAGAUUGUGAUUUCUUUGCAGUCAGGCUGUCUUACUCAUUUGGUGCCUAACACAUAGCAGAGGGUACUCAAUUUGUUGGCAGAAUAAAUAAAUGAUAUAAAUAAGUGAA